rnacentral:rRNA from 1 species
AGCGAACGCUGGCGGCAGGCCUAAUACAUGCAAGUCGAACGGCUCUUCGGAGCAGUGGCGGACGGGUGAGUGACACGUGGGAACGUGCCCCUUGGUACGGAACAACUGAGGGAAACUUCAGCUAAUACCGUAUGUGCCCCCAUUCUUAGCGGGAUGGGUGGGAAAGAUUUAUCGCCAUUGGAGCGGCCCGCGUUGGAUUAGCUAGUUGGUGGGGUAAAGGCCCACCAAGGCUACGAUCCAUAGCUGGUCUGAGAGGAUGAUCAGCCACACUGGGACUGAGACACGGCCCAGACUCCUACGGGAGGCAGCAGUAGGGAAUCUUGCGCAAUGGGCGAAAGCCUGACGCAGCCAUGCCGCGUGAAUGAUGAAGGUCUUAGGAUUGUAAAAUUCUUUCACCGGGGAAGAUAAUGACGGUACCCGGAGAAGAAGCCCCGGCUAACUUCGUGCCAGCAGCCGCCGUAA